rnacentral:rRNA from 1 species
UACGGGGGGAGCAAGCGUUGUUCGGAUUCAUUGGGCGUAAAGGGUGUGUAGGUGGCGCGCUAAGUCGGGUGUGAAAUUUCGGAGCUUAACUCCGAAACUGCAUUCGAUACUGGCGUGCUUGAGGACUGGAGAGGAGACUGGAAUUCAUGGUGUAGCAGUGAAAUGCGUAGAGAUCAUGAGGAAGACCAGUGGCGAAGGCGGGUCUCUGGACAGUUCCUGACACUGAGACACGAAGGCCAGGGGAGCGAACGGG